rnacentral:rRNA from 1 species
UAUUAAAAUUUUCAGGUAGUAAAACUUAUUAAAACCUAUAUACAUUGGCGGUCAUAAUAAUUUUGAGGAACUCGUUGAAUAAUCGUAAUUACUCGAUAAAUCUUACUUUUCUAAUUAAGCUUAUAUACCGCCGUUCCAAACUACACAUUUUAAUUAUAACUACUUAAGUAAAAAAAUCAGGUCAAGGUGUAGCUUUUAUUAAAGGAUCAAUAAGUUACAUUAAAUUAAAUUUUAGGAUUUUUUUUAAAAAAAAACAAUAAAAAAGAAUCCAAAUUCACAAAUUAAAUAAUAUUUUCUUUAGAAAUAAAACAACAUGAUGC